GACCGUCCAAUUAAAAGUAAAUCAAUCUGGACACCGUUCACGAGUUAGUUAUUAUUCAGUCCAUUCUCCUAUAAAUAGAAGCUCAUUCCUUCAUUAUUUCUUACGAAUUCACUGAAACUCUAGAGAGAGAAACUAUAGAGAGAAAAAAGAAAAAUAUUCUGCUACUUCACUACUCCUAUAUCCAGUUUCUUUUACGGUAAAG
rnacentral:lncRNA from 1 species